GUGGGGCAGUGUGUGUAUGGGGCUAGAGUUCACUCUCACCACUUCCUGGUGAGAGUGAACUCUAGCCCCAUACACACACUG